ACAAAUUUGAUAUCCUCCACAUCUGCAAUUAAUGAUGAUCAUGAUUACAAAAAGACUACUAACAAAAGAACUAAAUUUCCUACACUAACCUUAUAGCUAUGAAAGUUUAAUUGAGCCCUCCCCCCAAAAAAAACUUUGUAGUAAGAGCGGUUAAAUUAAAUGACCAUAACUUCCUGACAAUUUUUUAAAGCAGUAUUUUUUUUUUCUAAAGCCCACAAAAUUGUGUCUUAACACAGAGAUAGCGUUGAACUCUCUCGAGUGCUUUCCAAGCGUUUUCACGAACUGGUGGCAAUACUUUAUAUAUUUUAUGGUGGUGUUAAUGUUCCAAAGCAGCAUCACUUUUAGAUACAGACUAUCUUAACAUUGACUAACAAAGUAUACUUGUGACCUAACCAUUGAUGUAUAUCCUCUAUAAAAACUGUGAUGACUACUAUCAUAUUGCUCACCACCCCAACGUCAUUGCCACUCAGUACUUACGCCCGGUGUGCACUACCUGGCCAGCCCAUUGCUCCAAAAGAAGCUUAAAAGACUGGCAUUGGCAUCGAGAUUAUUAUGAACGCCACUCCCUGUCAGUGCCCACAGUGGGAAGAUCGUACUGUAUGCCUAUCAGUCAGCUUCAGCCAUCAAUCACCGCUUCCUUAUAUCACACUAGGAUUAAAAUAAAAAGUAAAAAAUGUAAUUAUAUUUAGGAAAGAUGUGUUGCCACAUCAAACUAAAAACAACUCAGAGUGUAGAACAAGUCUUUGAAAACAAGAAAAAAAAAAUGAAAUUAAACAAAUGAACACCAUAAUCUUUUUGUAUCAAUUCCUGAAACAAAAAAAAUUCUAUAAUUUCAAUUUUUCUUUAUUAAGCAAAUAAAAAAACAAAGAAAAAAAGAUUUACCUAAUCCUCGAGAAGCUACAUCAGU